CCGUAGUCCAAGAGAUCGGGAUAACACCUGGAAACAGAUGCUAAUACCGGAUAACAACAGAUGAUGCCUAUCAACUGUUUAAAAGAUGGUUCUGCUAUCACUCUUGGAUGGACCUGCGGUGCAUUAGCUAGUUGGUAGGGUAACGGCCUACCAAGGCGAUGAUGCAUAGCCGAGUUGAGAGACUGAUCGGCCACAUUGGGACUGAGACACGGCCCAAACUCCUACGGGAGGCAGCAGAG
rnacentral:rRNA from 1 species